ACCAGACUCCUACGGGAGGCAGCAGUGGGGAAUAUUGCACAAUGGGGGAAACCCUGAUGCAGCGACGCCGCGUGAGUGAAGAAGUAUUUCGGUAUGUAAAGCUCUAUCAGCAGGAACGAGACAAGACGGUACCUGACUAAGAAGCCCCGGCUAACUACGUGCCAGCAGCCGCGGUAAUACGUAGGGGGCAAGCGUUAUCCGGAAUCACUGGGUGUAAAGGGAGCGUAGACGGCUGUGCAAGCCUGAAGUGAAAGGCGGGGGCCCAACCCCUGGACUGCUUUGGGAACUGUACGGCUGGAGUGCAGGAGAGGUAAGUGGAAUUCCUAGUGUAGCGGUGAAAUGCGUAGAUAUUAGGAGGAACACCAGUGGCGAAGGCGGCUUACUGGACUGUAACUGACGUUGAGGCUCGAAAGCGUGGGGAGCAAACAGGAUUAGAUACCCUGGUAGCG
rnacentral:rRNA from 1 species